GAUCCCAGAGGUCAACAUCCGACAACGCGUUGCGUCCUCGGGUGCUAUGUUG
rfam:Bartonella rochalimae ATCC BAA-1498 genomic scaffold supercont1.1, whole genome shotgun sequence.